rnacentral:rRNA from 1 species
AUGCACGCUGACAGAAUGCUUAACACCUGCAAGUCAACUUGAACUUCGGUUUGGGUGGCGGACGGGUGAGUAACGCGUAAAGAACUUGCCUCACAGAUAGGGACAACAUUUGGAAACGAAUGCUAAUACCUGAUAUUAUGAUUUUAGGGCAUCCUAGGAUUAUGAAAGCUAUAUGCGCUGUGAGAGAGCUUUGCGUCCCAUUAGCUAGUUGGAGAGGUAACGGCUCACCAAGGCGAUGAUGGGUAGCCGGCCUGAGAGGGUGAUCGGCCACAAGGGGACUGAGACACGGCCCUUACUCCUACGGGAGGCAGCAGUGGGGAAUAUUGGACAAUGGACCAAGAGUCUGAUCCAGCAAUUCUGUGUGCACGAUGAAGUUUUUCGGAAUGUAAAGUGCUUUCAGUUGGGAAGAAAAAAAUGACGGUACCAACAGAAGAAGAGACGGCUAAAUACGUG